ACAUUGCGUUAGGGAUGGAAAUGGAAAGCUUUUUUUACAAAAACAAAUAGUAAUACAGCAACGAGGAAGCGACCGGAGAAAGCUCCCGCAGUGCUAGUAUUACUUUGUUUUUUAAAAAAACUUGCAAUGUACAGCCCGAAAAACG
rnacentral:sRNA from 1 species